CACUUCAGAUGGAGCCUGGGAACUGUGAUGUCACAGCCCACGCUCCAGCUGGAACGUCCAGCGCCCAGCAAAGGGCACAACACAACCAUUGGCCGCUGUGUUUGCACACUAUUCACCUUGCUCCUGCCCACUCUGCUUGUCACCUGCCCCCUGAUAAGCCCAUCACUCCUGAAAGAUUCUUAGUGCCUGGAUUUUGUCAUCCAGGCCUGCAGGAUGCUCCCAUUUGUUCUGAGGAAGGCUGUCCCAGACGGAGAGGAGGAGAUGGAGGUAGAUGCAAAGAUUGAUAUGGAGGUGGAGAUGGAGGUGGAUGUGGAUGUGGAAGAAGAGAUGGACGUUGAUAUGGACGAGUCCAUUGAGGACAUGGACAUUGAUUAAAAAGGCACAGGCAGCAUUUUGCCAAGUUGUAGUUUCCACUUGCUCCAGGUUCCCAGGGCUGGAGGUCACAAGUAGAUGAAGGGGAAAAAAUCCACAAUUAAGAGUGUCCAUGACACCCAGAGCCAAAGAAGCCCAGGGGAUCAGGAAAGAGGGAAGCACGUGCUCCAAACAACAGCAGAAAUGUAGAGAGAGCUCUGGAGGGAACAAAAGAAUGAUGAAGCCUGAAGAAAGGAAAAAACGUCUCCCCACAAGGUGUUUUGCUUUUUUUUCAUUGAGAGUCUCUUGUAUCAUGUGGUGGAAACCCAGAAAAAUAAAGGUCAGGAGAAGCAUGGUUUAUUGGGAACAUUGCUGCAUAGUAGACAAUCCUUGUGCAAAUCAGUCCAUGCAGCACUCACAUAUUGAAUUGCUUCUCUUCCUGGGGAUGCAGAGUUGCUUUAUUUACUCCAAGCAAGAUUUUCUCCCUCCUCCCUGGCAAAGAACAAGCUCCCAUCCUGGCAAGCGCUCGCUGCUUUCCUUAACACUCAUCACAGCCAUGCUAAGGAGAGUGGAGCAGGUUAAUUUAUCACUUGUUGCAAGUUCUAAGUCCUUCUUAGAUAAGGACCAUGC